GUAUAGGCGAUAGAAAAGUACCCAUCCCGGCGCAAUAGAGACCAGUACCGUAAGGGAAAGAUGAAAUAACAAUGAAAACCUAAGCAAAGAGCAGCAAAGAUAAACCCUUGUACCUUUUGCAUCAUGAUUUAGCAAGAACAACCAAGCAAAACGAAUUUAAGCUUGCCUCCCCGAAACCCAAGCGAGCUACUCACAAGCAGCUACCCCCUGAGCGAACCCGUCUCUGUUGCAAAAGAGUGGGAUGACUUGUUAGUAGAGGUGAAAAGCCAAUCGAGCUGGGUGAUAGCUGGUUGCCUGCCAAAUGAAUCUAAGUUCUCCCUUGACUCCCCCCCC
rnacentral:ncRNA from 1 species